UGCCCAGCCCCGCGGGGUGUUUUUGGGGCCGGGCCGCUCCUUACCUUAUCCUGUGUGACGCAGGGCCACGCCGAGGGAAAACCUGAGUCAUCGCCCUUUCCUCCCGCUCCGGGAGGCAACGCGCCGCCGGAGCCCAACGCCAAAGCCAGGCUUCCCCAGGAGCCCGAGUCCUGCUCCCCCGUCUCCUUUCCAGGGUUAUGGGGAUCUGGAACGCUUUCUGUUGUCACCAAGAGAAAACGUGGUCCUUUAGCAAUAAGAAAACAAGAGCACAACCCAUCUUUAGCCAUCUCAUAUAUUCAGGAGAAGACUAAACUAGCUGCAUUGUGACAUAAAUCAGGUGAUAAUCGUAUAAAAUGCAUUAAAUAAUUCAAAAGCUUUGUUAGGAUAUCACCAUUUUGAUGAAACUUUAUACUUGCUUGUGUAUUCUGGUCUGAAAGUUAAAGCAAUUGCUUUAACACUUCUGCUUGGGAAACAGAGCUUUUAAGGUUUAAUCGCCUGGUAGGCAGCUGGAAAGUCCAACCCCCACCUCCCCAGAAUGAAAAGAGAAAGAGAGUAUGGGAUGCAACCUGAGUGGAAUUAAAGAAAAUAUAGAGAGUACCUUAAUGGCCUAAAAUGCAGGGUGGUCAAAACGUUGGUGAAACCCUCAGCCAGCAAACAUUAAAGCAACUCCCACAACCACCC
rnacentral:lncRNA from 1 species